rnacentral:rRNA from 1 species
UACGAAGGGGGCUAGCGUUGCUCGGAAUUACUGGGCGUAAAGCGCACGUAGGCGGUCUUUUAAGUCGGGGGUGAAAUCCUGGAGCUCAACUCCAGAACUGCCUUCGAUACUGGAAGACUUGAGUCCGGGAGAGGUGAGUGGAACUGCGAGUGUAGAGGUGAAAUUCGUAGAUAUUCGCAAGAACACCAGUGGCGAAGGCGGCCAACUGGACGAGUACUGACGCUGAGACACGAAAGCGUGGGGAGCAAACAGG